rnacentral:misc_RNA from 1 species
GAAAUGCGAUAAGUAGUGUGAAUUGCAGAAUUCAGUGAAUCAUCGAAUCUUUGAACGCACAUUGCGCCCUUUGGUAUUCCUUAGGGCAUGCCUGUUCGAGCGUCAUCUAAACCUUCAAGCCCUGCUUGGUGUUGGGUGUCUGUCCCGCCUCCGCGCGCGGACUCACCUCAAAUCCAUUGGCGGCCCCCGCGUCGGCCACGAGCGCAGCAGAAACGCGAACUCGUGAGCCCGUCCGGGCGGCUCCCAGAAGCUACACCCACCCAGUUUGACCUCGGAUCAGGUAGGGAUACCCGCUGAACUUAAGC